GACGAACGCUGGCGGCGUGCUUAACACAUGCAAGUGGUGCGACGAACCAGGCUUCGGCCUGGGGCAAAGCCGCGAACGGGUGAGUAACACGUGAGUAAUCUGCCCCGAUGACCGGGACAACCCGAGGAAACUCGGGCUAAUACCGGAUGAUGAGCCUUGGCGUAAGCCUUGUCUCUAAAGGAAGCUUCGGCCUCCGCAUCGGGAGGAGCUCGCGGCCCAUUAGCUUGUUGGUGGGGUAACGGCCUACCAAGGCGACGAUGGGUAGCUGGUCUGAGAGGACGAUCAGCCACACUGGGACUGAGACACGGCCCAGACUCCUACGGGAGGCAGCAGUGGGGAAUCUUGCGCAAUGCGCGAAAGCGUGACGCAGCAACGCCGCGUGGGGGAAGACGGCCUUCGGGUUGUAAACCCCUUUCAGGAGGGACGAAGGUUCGCCGGUGAAUAGCCGUGCGGAUUGACGGUACCUCCACAAGAAGCUCCGGCUAACUACGUGCCAGCCGCCGCUGUAAUAC
rnacentral:rRNA from 1 species